rnacentral:rRNA from 1 species
CUACGGGUGGCAGCAGUAGGGAAUAUUGCGCAAUGGGCGAAAGCCUGACGCGGCGACGCCGCGUGGAUGAAGAAGGCCUUCGGGUUGUAAAGUCCUGUCAGGGGGGACGAAGGCGAAAGCUGACGGUACCCCCAGAGGAAGCCCCGGCCAACUACGUGCCAGCAGCCGCGGUAAGACGUAGGGGGCGAGCGUUGCCCGGAAUCAUUGGGCGUAAAGAGCACGUAGGCGGCUUGUCAAGUCGGAUGUGAAAACCAACGGCUCAACCGUUGGACUGCAUUCGAAACUGGCAGGCUAGAGUCCAGUAGAGGAAAGUGGAAUUCCCAGUGUAGCGGUGAAAUGCGCAGAUAUUGGGAAGAACACCGGUGGCGAAGGCGGCUUUCUGGGCUGAGACUGACGCUGAGGUGCGAAAGCUAGGGGAGCAAACAGGAUUAGAUACCCGGGUAGUC